UGGCCGUAAACGAUACUCGCUAGGUGUCGGCCACGGUGCGACCGUUGUCGGUGCCGUAGGGAAGCCGUGAAGCGAGCCACCUGGGAAGUACGGCCGCAAGGCUGAAACCUAAAGGAAUUGGCGGGGGAGCACAACAACGGGUGGAGCUUGCGGUUUAAUUGGAUUCAACGCCGGGAAGCUCACCGGAUAAGACAGCGGAAUGAUUGCCGGGCUGAAGACCCUGCAUGACCAGCUGAGAGGAGGUGCAUGGCGUAGUCGUGU
rnacentral:rRNA from 1 species